UACGGAGGGUGCAAGCGUUAUCCGGAUUCACUGGGUUUAAAGGGUGCGUAGGCGGAUUUGUAAGUCCGUGGUGAAAUCUCCGAGCUUAACUCGGAAACUGCCAUGGAUACUAUAAGUCUUGAAUGUUGUGGAGGUUUGCGGAAUAUGUCAUGUAGCGGUGAAAUGCAUAGAUAUGACAUAGAACACCGAUUGCGAAGGCAGCAGGCUACGCAAAUAUUGACGCUGAGGCACGAAAGCGUGGGGAUCAAACAGG
rnacentral:rRNA from 1 species